CCUCGGGGGGCUGCAGUGGGGAAUAUUGGACAAUGGGCGAAAGCCUCAUCCAGCCAUGCCGCGUGUGUGAAGAAGGCCUUCGGGUUGUAAAGCACUUUCAGUGGGGAAGAAAGCCUUGGGGCUAAUACCCUCGAGGAAGGACAUCACCCACAGAAGAAGCACCGGCUAACUCCGUGCCAGCAGCCGCGGUAAUACGGAGGGUGCGAGCGUUAAUCGGAAUUACUGGGCGUAAAGCGCGCGUAGGCGGUCUGAUAAGCCGGUUGUGAAAGCCCCGGGCUCAACCUGGGAACGGCAUCCGGAACUGUCAGGCUAGAGUGCAGGAGAGGAAGGUAGAAUUCCCGGUGUAGCGGUGAAAUGCGUAGAGAUCGGGAGGAAUACCAGUGGCGAAGGCGGCCUUCUGGACUGACACUGACGCUGAGGUGCGAAAGCGUGGGUAGCAAACAGGAUUAGAUACCCUUGUAGUC
rnacentral:rRNA from 1 species